UACGUAGGGCGCAAGCGUUGUCCGGAAUUAUUGGGCGUAAAGAGCUCGUAGGCGGUUUGUCGCGUCUGCUGUGAAAUCCCGAGGCUCAACCUCGGGCUUGCAGUGGGUACGGGCAGACUAGAGUGCGGUAGGGGAGACUGGAAUUCCUGGUGUAGCGGUGGAAUGCGCAGAUAUCAGGAGGAACACCGAUGGCGAAGGCAGGUCUCUGGGCCGCAACUGACGCUGAGGAGCGAAAGCAUGGAGAGCGAACAGG
rnacentral:rRNA from 1 species